UGCAGAUUGCUGGUUUCAUUCAUGAAGAUAGGAUCAAACACCUUAGGAAUUAUUACAGGGUAACACAAGUCACUAGUCAGAAGACGUCAAGUUGAAGCUAAAGCUAAGCUUGACUAGAGCUCUAAGUAUAUAAGAAGAAAAGAAGAACAAGGAACGGAGUAAAAAGGAGAAGCAAGGUAUUAUCCAACCCCAAGUUCAUUGCCACCUCUAGGAAGCUGCAAGCUUUGUUGUUGAAUACUCCCUCCAUCCGCCUCCUACCUUAGGAUUCCGG
rnacentral:lncRNA from 1 species